GCUAAACGCGAAGAACCUUACCUACUCUUAACAUCCAGAGAACUUUCCAGAGAUGGAUUGGUGCCUUCGGGAACUCUGAGACAGGUGCUGCAUGGCUGUCGUCAGCUCGUGUUGUGAAAUGUUGGGUUAAGUCCCGCAACGAGCGCAACCCUUAUCCUUUGUUGCCAGCGGUUCGGCCGGGAACUCAAAGGAGACUGCCAGUGAUAAACUGGAGGAAGGUGGGGAUGACGUCAAGUCAUCAUGGCCCUUACGAGUAGGGCUACACACGUGCUACAAUGGCCGGUACAGAGCGUCGCCAACUCGCGAGAGUGAGCUAAUCGCACAAAGCCGGUCUAAGUUCGGAUUGCAGUCUGCAACUCGACUGCAUGAAGCCGGAAUCGCUAGUAAUCGCGGAUCAGCUACGCCGCGGUGAAUACGUUCCCGGGUCUUGUACACACCG
rnacentral:rRNA from 1 species